rnacentral:lncRNA from 1 species
GGGCUCAGAUCCAGCGAACGGAAUUCAUCAUCUCCUAAUAAAUUUUACAGAAAGCCGGUUACAGCACAUGCCAUUCACGUCAGACUAAAAUACAAGUUUCGUCGCCAUCUAUGAUUCACAUUUACAACUACUGAUAUGGAUCUAAGUCUUCGUUACGCAAGACCGCCGCCAUUUGUUUUCGAGCACUGAUUGAAAGCGUAUGGCGUAUCGUUAGACAAUCCGUACGACGUAUUUUCCUUCCUCACAUUUUUCUUCAUAAAAAUGAUGGUUGCGUGAUAACCUAGCCAAUAAUUUCUACUUGGAAAUUUCAGCUGAUCAUGUG